GUGCUCGCUUCAGCAGCACAUAUGCUAAAAUUAGAAUGCUACAGAGACGAUUAGCAUGGCCUCUGCGCAAGGAUGACAUGCAAAUUAGUGAAGCAUUUCAUAUUUUU